UAACGCGUAGGUAACCUGCCUUGUAGCGGGGGAUAACUAUUGGAAACGAUAGCUAAUACCGCAUAACAAUGGAUGACCCAUGUCAUUUAUUUGAAAAGGGGGCAAAUGCUCCACUACAAGAUGGACCUGCGUUGUAUUAGCUAGUAGGUGAGGUAACGGCUCACCUAGGCGACGAUACAUAGCCGACCUGAGAGGGUGAUCGGCCACACUGGGACUGAGACACGGCCCAG
rnacentral:rRNA from 1 species